rnacentral:rRNA from 1 species
GACGAACGCUGGCGGCGCGCUUAACACAUGCAAGUCGAACGGAAAGGCCUGCUUUCCCUUGUGGAUUGCGGGUACUCGAGUGGCGAACGGGUGAGUAACACGUGAGUGAUCUGCCCCCAACUUGGGUAUAAGCCUGGGAAACUGGGUCUAAUUCCCGAUAGGACUGCAGGGUGGUGCCUGUGGUGGAAAACGAUUUUCUAGUGGUUGGGGAUGAGCUCGCGGCCUAUCAGCUUGUUGGUGGGGUAAUGGCCUACCAAGGCGGCGACGGGUAGCCGGCCUGGGAGGGUGGACGGCCACGUUGGGACUGAGAUACGGCCCAGACGCCGACGGGAGGCAGCAGUGGGGAAUAUUGCACAAUGGGCGGAAGCCUGAUGCAGCGACGCCGCGUGGGGGAUGACGGCCUUCGGGUUGUAAACUCCUUUCGACCGCGAGGAAGCCACCUGGUUGGAAGGGUGGUGACGGUAGUGGUAGAAGAAGCACCGGCUAACUACGUG